rnacentral:rRNA from 1 species
CUAAGAAUAUUCCGCAAUGGACGAAAGUCUGACGGAGCGACGCCGCGUGGAUGAAGAAGGCCGAAAGGUUGUAAAGUUCUUUUGUUGGGGAAGAAUAACCAUGGGAGGGAAUGCCCGUGGGAUGGCAUGAACCGACGAAUAAGCCCCGGCUAACUACGUGCCAGCAGCCGCGGUAACACGUAGGGGGCAAGCGUUGUUCGGAAUUACUGGGCGUAAAGGGCAUGUAGGCGGCCUUGUAAGCUUGGCGUGAAAGUCCACGGCUUAACCGUGGGAUUGCGUUGAGCACUGCGAGGCUUGAGUGACGGAGAGGGAGCUAGAAUUCCUGGUGUAGGGGUGGAAUCUGUAGAGAUCAGGAAGAAUACCAAUGGCGAAGGCAAGCUCCGGGCCGAUGACUGACACUGAGGUGCGAAAGUGUGGGGAUCAAACAG